CACCUGGGGGAAAUUUAGGGCUGAAGAAGGGUAGGACUCCCCCCCCCCCUUCCCUCUGCAUCGUGGUGUGGCAGGGAGGUUUUUUUCCGUGCUAAAGGGACAGCUGGGAUGUGCUGGGUGCCUUGGUGGCCUGGAGGUGGCUUCUGCCCCUGCUCGUGGUGGCAAUGUGUCCCUCCCUCCCAGUACCAUGUGGGAGCCUGAGAAGAAGAAAAAAAAAAAAAAGAAAGGGAACGCUCUUUAUGCGCGUGUAGCCCUGCUCCUCAUUACGCUUCCUGCUAGAGAGCUACCCAGGCCAGCCAAAAAUAAAACCAGCUACAUUUGAGCAGCCUAUUUCAAGCCCGUAUAAACUGCGAUGUGUAAAUACUUGUGUGUGCAAACCCCCCCACGCAAUCCUGCGUGAAGCUGUUGGAGCAGCAGCCCCAGCCUCUCCCCACGUGCCCGUCAUUGGGAAGGCGCCAGCUGCUGCUGCCGGCAGCUCUUUGUUGCAGGAGCCAACCUUUUAUUUUUAUUUUUUUAACCUGUCAUGGGCUGGCACAGUGCUGGAGCUCCUCCAAAGCCUGGUCCUUCCACCCCUGUGUUGUGUUUUGUUUUGUUUUCCCCCCAAAAAUUUGGCUGCCUACAAGCUGUGUGAGUACUGAGCAUCGGAAACGUGCCCUGCAUCCCUUUGCCUCCCCAGGAGUGGAGCCCUCCUGCCCCUUCCUGAACUCAUCGCAAAAAUUUGCCCCUAUGCAAAUAAAUCUGCCUGGUUUGAGGUUUUGUGUAGGAUUUCAGGAGCCUGAGCCCGCAACUUGGUUGCCAGUGGCAGCGUUGCCAACAGCUCAAGGUGCAGAAUCAGGCUCCUGGUGCCUAAGGCAGCACAAGAAGCCAGGGGAAACACCACCCUUGAAGGCCUUGGAGGUUCUUUCCUAUCGUGGAAGCACAGAUAUUGCUUCUUGGGGGGAGGAAAAAUACCAAGAGGCACGCAAAACGCUGUGAUGCUCUUUAUUGGCAUCCGACCGAUACACAAGGAUAGCUACCCACCGAGCCGGCCCCGCGCCCCGCCAGCCCCCGUGCAGGAUCCCUCCCACCUCAUGCUGCUCGCACCCCUCCCGGCACACCCACAAACUCCUUCUACGAUGGCAAAUUGUUCGCCGCAAACCUCUAAUAAAUCGGCGUUGGUAUCACAGGGGGAGUGGGGGAACAAGUGGAGAAAACACACAUUCUUUGUACAACAGAAACAUUAGAAAAGGACACAAAACGUACCGACGAGCAUUAACUUUGGCUUGUUUUCCCUCCUUUUUUUUUUUUUUUUAAGUUAUUAUUAUUAUUAUUUUUCCUGCAACCAGGGAUUUGAGGCAUCCCGCGGCUUCUCUUUGGAUGCUGAGUUUGUCUCCGUUUCCUCGGCCGCGAGGCUGGUCGAAGGGCGAGGAAAGGACCCCUUGCUAUGGCAAUAGAAACCUGAGAGCAUGGCGAUAUUGUCCUGAAGAAAAGUGAUUUGCAUCUGGCACGGUGCGUCCCGGGUGGCGCGUGGGCUCGGCCAGGCUCACCCGGGCAGGUUUUUGAGGAGGAGUUGGCGGAACCCAGCGUGGGCGCUCGCAUCGAGUCGCUUCACCAAAAGAAGGGACCAAGGGAAACCACGAUAACCAACACUUGAGUUUGUCCCAAAGCAUCCUUGGGGAUGGCUCAGUCUGGAAGGAGCUGUCACCCCAGCUGGGGGCUUGCAAGCCGGAGUCAAAUUUGGGGCAGUUUCCUUGGAUUUCAGUGCUCUUGGUGCACAGCUGCUUUGCGUGAGGGCAGGAGGCGCUUGACAUCCCAGCCUGAUCCAAACGCAGCCUGGGCGUUUUUAUGUUCCAAAACCCAGGGAGCAAAGUUUCCAAAAGCUUUUAGGUGCUGAGUUUCCACCAAUGUUGGCUCCAGGCCCCUUCACGGGAUCCCAGAAUGGGCAAGUUGGGCAGGGACCUCUGGGUCCAUCUCUCCAAGCCCUGCUCCAGCAGGACCACCCGGAGCAGGGCGCCCAGGACCGUGUCCAGGCAGCUUUUGGAGCUCUCCGAGGAUGGAGACCAGUUCCAGUGCUCCGUCACCUCCACAGUCCAGCAUUAUGUCCUGGUCUUCAGACAGAAACGGCCUGCAGGGCACCGAGCUCUCCCUGCAACGACCUCCACCAGGAUUGGCCAAACCCCUUGGUGUCCCCAAGCUUCUCACAGACUCGCUGCGAUGGUUUUCGGAGCGAGCACGCGCGCGUUUCCCCACGUUCUCCGUCGAGUCUUUAAGGCCAGAGGCGAGGUGGGAACGAGGACGGGGCUGCAAGAGGAAAGCUCAGCCUGCAGGUGGGAGGCCGGGGUGGCCGAGCAGAGGGGUUGGGGCAGGCACCAUCACCCCAUCACACGUAGAAACAUCGAGCAUUAGUAAAACAAGGCAGAAUUA